UUGCUUAGUUGAGAUCUCUCACUGUUUAAAUUUCCAUUUAGGGAAACUUACACUGGGAUAGAGAGAUCCAUGAACGAUUACUUAUAACUCCUGUUCCACUUGAUCAACUAUGAAUUUUAAUAAAACAUUGACUCAAAAAUCCAGUCCAGAAGAAAAUAGUACUUGGAAUCUACACAGUUAAUCACUGAUCUUGCAGUUUUGUGGUAUGGCUCAAAGCAGUUAUGGUAUAGACAAGGAGUUUGAGAAGCAUGAAAUGUUAAAAUAUCAUGCAGAAUUAUUUACUAUAUAGCACUUUAUUCAAGACUUGCUGCCCUCUGUGUCAAAGAUCUUGCUACAUAGGACACCCCCUGACCUCCUGUCAGUUCAUCACAGAGUUCAAAUCUUCCCAGACCUUCUUUUACAGCCAUUUAGUCCUGGACUAACAAGGACCUACUGUUUCUGCCUCAAAUGAAGCAUUCCUCUCCUUAUUUCACUUUCUGGCUCUUGAUAGUUUGAAUAGUUUUUUUGUUUGGUAACUUAUUUUAGCUUGGAAAUGAUUUAGGCACUUACUUUUUUAAAACUGGUAGAAAAUGAGUACUUAUCCUGAGUCGCAGCAGUUGGAUACUAUAUCCUACCUUGAUAACAGAAUGCUGUGUGCGAGGGGCUUCUACCCUCUAGGCCAGAACUUAGCUAAAAUACUGUGUAUUAUAGCUCCUGUGUUUCAGAAGUGAUGUGAAAGUUCCAGUUUGGCCCCCUUCUAAUUCCCAGAUAAGUUACUGUAAGAACAAUACAGAGAAUUUUCAUAUAUCCCUUCACCUGGAGAUUCCAUUCAAAUUUUGCCAGUUCCAAUAAUGUCUUUUUAGGAAAAGCUUACAACCCAUUUGGUUGUUAGUCUCCACUUUGACACAGUUCUUCACUUCCUUCACUUUUACAACCUUGACACCUCUGGUGAUUUGGUAGUUCGUAGGUCCUGAGUGAUGUUCUCAAGGGUGGACAAGGCCUAGAAGCUGGAUGACUGAGGACUGGAGACAGCUUGGUUGUGAAUGAAAGAUGGACUGGGCGGCUAUGGAAGCAUGUGGAUCAGGGGUAGAUGUGUGACUGAAAGUAUGCAGCAUCUGACUUGCAGAGUUGGCUGGUUUCAGUGCACGUUUGAAUUGACCUCAGCUGCGAUUUCAAUCACUUUCCACUUUUGUUUUCUGGUGACUUACUCCUCAGUGCAACCUUAACUGUGGAAAUUGAGGUUUCCAGAAAACAGUUGAUUUGGUCACAGCAACACAGUAAGUGGAAGACGCAGAAUUGGAAUCCACAUCUGGCUGAUUCCAAAACCUGAGGUUGUGUUUACCUGUGUUCCUGUAGUAUAGACCUUGGACAAUGGCAGAAUUGACUUGUGGGUCAUUGAAUUAGCAAUGGACAUUCAAAGUAACCCUCAUCUUGAUUUUCACUGUCUUCAUAAGGUAGAAUUAGCACAUCUUGUUCAGAGUUUCUUAAAAUCAUUUCUGACUUCCUCAGAGCAAGGUUAAACUCUGAGAAAGUUGGUAUUGGUUUGCUCCAGUUAGAUGUUGCCCCUAGCCACAGCUCCUCAAACAGGUAGGUUGAAUUAUUCUUGAGCGUAGCGACUAGGAUUUCCUGUUGGCCACCAACUUGAGGUACCAUAGGCCUUGUGAUCAUGUAGGAAAAACUUACAAUUUGUCAUGAAGAUACUGGGAAACUACCCAGUACUCUAGACCUUUAUGGGAAAAUAAUCUAAAAAAGUGUGUAUAUGUAUAUGUAUAACUUUGCUGUACACCUGGAACUAUACAACAUUGUAAACCAAUUAAAGAUGCUGGGAGAGAGGAGAGAAUUAUGUAAAAUCAGACUUGAUUUUCUUUCUCCUACCUUCUCAGUGGGCAUGAAAUUGGAACCUAGAGGCUCUUUACACUGCGCAUGCACUAUCUUCUGGGCACCUUCAGAUCCACUGUCCACUCUGGCCCUGGUUGGCUAGCCUGGACGGACAUGGUAUCAGGCUCCCCUGCUUUCUGGCUCCUGGCUGACUGGCCAGUGCAGAACCCCACCAGGAAAUUGCAACCUCAUGGACUGUAGCCCUCCAGGUUCCUCUGUCAUCCACUACUUCCCAGGGUUUGCACAAAUUCAUUUCCAUUGAGUUGGUGAUGCCAUCUGACCAUCUCAUCCUCUGCUGCCACCUUAUCCUUUUGCCUUCAAUCUUUCCCAGCAUCAGGGUCUUUUCCAGUGAGUCAACUCUUUGCAUUAGAUGACCAAGGUAUUGGAGCUUCAGCAUCAGCCCGUCCAAUGAAUAUUCAGGGUUGAUUUCCUUCAGGAUUGACUGGCUUAAUCUCCUUGCAGUCCGAGAGACUCAAGACUCUUUUCCAGCACUACAAUUCAAAAGCUUCAAUUCUUCAGUGCCCAGUCUUUAUAAUCCAGCUGUCACAUUCGUGUAUGACUACUGGAAAAAUCGUGGGUUGGUGGUUCAGUCAUUAAGUUGUGUCUGACUUUUUGUGACCCUAUGAACUGUAGCAUGCCAGGCUCCUCU
ensembl:lncRNA